rnacentral:rRNA from 1 species
CAGUCGCCGCGGUAAUACAGAGGGUGCGAGCGUUAAUCGGAUUUACUGGGCGUAAAGCGUGCGUAGGCGGCUAAUUGAGUCGGAUGUGAAAUCCCCGAGCUUAACUUGGGAAUUGCAUUCGAUACUGGUUAGCUAGAGUGUGGGAGAGGAUGGUAGAAUUCCAGGUGUAGCGGUGAAAUGCGUAGAGAUCUGGAGGAAUACCGAUGGCGAAGGCAGCCAUCUGGCCUAACACUGACGCUGAGGUACGAAAGCAUGGGGAGCAAACAGGAUUAGAUACCCCUGUAGUCCCUGUCUCUUAUAC